rnacentral:rRNA from 1 species
AGCAGCCGCGGUAAUUCCAGCUCCAAUAGCGUAUAUUAAAGUUGUUGCAGUUAAAAAGCUCGUAGUUGAAUUUCGAGACCGGUUUAUUGGUCGUGCUUUUGUACGUACUGGUAUUAUUGGUUUCUCCUUUCUGACGAAUCUUAAUGCCAUUAAUUUGGUGUUUUGGGGAAUCAGGACUGUUACUUUGAAAAAAUUAGAGUGUUUAAAGCAGGCUCACGCUUGAAUACAUUAGCAUGGAAUAACGGAAUAGGACGUUUGAUUCUAUUUUGUUGGUUUCUAGGAUCGACGUAAUGAUUAAUAGGGAUAGUUGGGGGCAUUAGUAUUCAAUUGUCAGAGGUGAAAUUCUUGGAUUUAUUGAAGACUAACUACUGCGAAAGCAUUUGCCAAGGAUGUUUUC